rnacentral:rRNA from 1 species
CUGGCGGCAGGCCUAACACAUGCAAGUCGAGCGCUCACUUCGGUGGGAGCGGCGGACGGGUUAGUAACGCGUGGGAAUAUGCCCGGUACUAAGGAAUAGCCUUUGGAAACGAAGAGUAAUACCUUAUACGCCCUUCGGGGGAAAGAUUUAUCGGUAUCGGAUUAGCCCGCGUAAGAUUAGAUAGUUGGUGGGGUAAUGGCCUACCAAGUCUACGAUCUUUAGCUGGUUUUAGAGGAUGAUCAGCAACACUGGGACUGAGACACGGCCCAGACUCCUACGGGAGGCAGCAGUGGGGAAUCUUAGACAAUGGGCGCAAGCCUGAUCUAGCCAUGCCGCGUGAGUGAAGAAGGCCUUAGGGUCGUAAAACUCUUUCGCCAGAGAUGAUAAUGACAGUAUCUGGUAAAGAAACCCCGGCUAACUCCGUGCCAGCAGCCGCGGUAAUACGGAGGGGGUUAGCGUUGUUCGGAAUUACUGGGCGUAAAGCGCACGUAGGCGGACUGGAAAGUUGGGGGUGAAAUCCCGGGGCUCAACCUCGGAACUGCCUCCAAAACUAUCAGUCUAGAGUUCGAGAGAGGUGAGUGGAAUUCCAAGUGUAGAGGUGAAAUUCGUAGAUAUUUGGAGGAACACCAGUGGCGAAGGCGGCUCACUGGCUCGAUACUGACGCUGAGGUGCGAAAGUGUGGGGAGCAAACAGGAUUAGAUACCCUGGUAGUCCACACCGUAAACGAUGAAUGCCAGUCGUCGGCAAGUAUACUUGUCGGUGACACACCUAACGGAUUAAGCAUUCCGCCUGGGGAGUACGGUCGCAAGAUUAAAACUCAAAGGAAUUGACGGGG